CUAUAUGGAUGCGAAAUAUGGGGUUACGAAAACUUAGAUAUACUAGAAAGAGUUCAAACUAAAUUUUUUAAGCUACUUUUACAUCUUAAGCCAUCUACUCAAAACGACUUCAUUUAUGGAGAACUGGGUCGGUAUCCCCUAGAAAUAGAUAUAAAAACUAGAAUUAUAUCUUAUUGGACAAAGUUAAUUACCGGUAAAGAAAGUAAGCUCGCUGCUGUAAUGUUUAGAUACCUUUUCAAGUUAGCACAAGAAACAACAUUUCGAUCGCGAUCGUUAGACAAGAUGAAAAGUAUUCUAGACAAUUGUGGAUUCUCUUACUUAUGGUCAUUCCAAAACACAUCACCUAACAUUAAAUCGAUAAUUAAACAAAGACUAGAAGAUCAGUUUACACAGUCAUGGUCAGGAAAGGUAAACGAUUCGCCGAAAGCCCUGAAUUAUCGCCUAUACAAGACAUCACACAAUUUCGAACACUACCUUAACGUACUUGAUGAUAAAGAUGUAAUAACAAUGUCGCGGUUUAGGACAAUGAACCAUAAACUGCCGAUUGAAAAUGGUAGAUGGCAAAACAUUCCCCGAGAACAGAGAAAGUGUCCGUUGUGCAGAGUUGCUAUAGGUGACGAAUACCACUAUGUAAUGGAAUGCAGCAGUCUCUUGACAGAUAGAACACUACUUAUUGACAAGAAAUACCUAACGAACUUUAAUGUUUUAAAAUUUAAUGCUAUUAUGAACCAAAAACAGAAAUCUAAACUUCGAAAAUUGUGCCAAUUUAUUAGAAUUAUAAAUGACAAACUGGAUUCUCUCUGAUGUUAACCUGUCGGCUAUACUGAUCAUACCGUUGUAAAAAACUCAUAUUUAAUGCUUCCUCAACAAAUGUACAUAUA
rnacentral:lncRNA from 1 species